rnacentral:rRNA from 1 species
GACGAACGCUGGCGGCGUGCUUAACACAUGCAAGUCGAACGGAAAGGCCCUGCUUUUGUGGGGUGCUCGAGUGGCGAACGGGUGAGUAACACGUGAGUAACCUGCCCUUGACUUUGGGAUAACUUCAGGAAACAGGGGCUAAUACCGGAUAGGAGCUCCUGCUGCAUGGUGGGGGUUGGAAAGUUUCGGCGGUUGGGGAUGGACUCGCGGCUUAUCAGCUUGUUGGUGGGGUAGUGGCUUACCAAGGCUUUGACGGGUAGCCGGCCUGAGAGGGUGACCGGCCACAUUGGGACUGAGAUACGGCCCAGACUCCUACGGGAGGCAGCAGUGGGGAAUAUUGCACAAUGGGCGGAAGCCUGAUGCAGCAACGCCGCGUGCGGGAUGACGGCCUUCGGGUUGUAAACCGCUUUCGCCUGUGACGAAGCGUGAGUGACGGUAAUGGGUAAAGAAGCACCGGCUAACUACGUGCCAGCAGCCGCGGUGAUACGUAGGGUGCGAGCGUUGUCCGGAUUUAUUGGGCGUAAAGGGCUCGUAGGUGGUUGAUCGCGUCGGAAGUGUAAUCUUGGGGCUUAACCCCUGAGCGUGCUUUCGAUACGGGUUGACUUGAGGAAGGUAGGGGAGAAUGGAAUUCCUGGUGGAGCGGUGGAAUGCGCAGAUAUCAGGAGGAACACCAGUGGCGAAGGCGGUUCUCUGGGCCUUUCCUGACGCUGAGGAGCGAAAGCGUGGGGAGCGAACAGGCUUAGAUACCCUGGUAGUCCACGCUGUAAACGGUGGGUACUAGGUGUGGGGUCCAUUCCACGGGUUCCGUGCCGUAGCUAACGCUUUAAGUACCCCGCCUGGGGAGUACGGCCGCAAGGCUAAAACUCAAAGGAAUUGACGGGGCCCCGCACAAGCGGCGGAGCAUGCGGAUUAAUUCGAUGCAACGCGUAGAACCUUACCUGGGUUUGACAUGGAUCGGGAGUGCUCAGAGAUGGGUGUGCCUCUUUUGGGGUCGGUUCACAGGUGGUGCAUGGCUGUCGUCAGCUCGUGUCGUGAGAUGUUGGGUUAAGUCCCGCAACGAGCGCAACCCUUGUUCACUGUUGCCAGCACGUUAUGGUGGGGACUCAGUGGAGACCGCCGGGGUCAACUCGGAGGAAGGUGGGGAUGACGUCAAGCCAUCAUGCCCCUUAUGUCCAGGGCUUCACGCAUGCUACAAUGGCUGGUACAGAGAGUGGCGAGCCUGUGAGGGUGAGCGAAUCUCGGAAAGCCGGUCUCAGUUCGGAUUGGGGUCUGCAACUCGACCUCAUGAAGUCGGAGUCGCUAGUAAUCGCAGAUCAGCAACGCUGCGGUGAAUACGUUCCCGGG